AUUAUAUUACAUAAUUUAUUAUAUAUUAUAUAUUAUAUUAAAUACAGUAAUCUACACUUGUUACUAUGAGACUUAAAUUAGUUAAUUCAGUUGCAAAUGCCUGGUUUAUAAUGGUACACAUUGAAGUUUAUUAAAUUUGUUGUUUAGGGACUCGUUUUAAUUUCUAUUUAAACUUAGUGUAGUUUACUAUAUUUAAACUCAUUUUACUUAAUUCCAUGAGUGUAAAUCAUGACAGAGCUCCUGAAAAAGUGAUAUGAUAAUAAUAACACUAAAAAUACGAUAAAAACAUUCAAGUUGGUUUUCCACACAGUGUCAAAUUUGAAAGUAAAGUAUCCUCAACAGUCUGCUUUGCUCAAUCUUUAAUUUUCAUGUUCACGAAAGCCAGGCAAAGUGCAAUUGUAAAUGACACCUGAGACAAAACUUCAGAUCACACUCUGCUUCCCUUUUCUUUGUAUCUUUCUCUUUUUUCUCUUCUUUAGUUCUGUAUUUCGACCCACCAACAAUGAUCAACUGUAUGCUCCUUAAGUGCGGAGAUUGCAAAAGAAGAAUUAGGCAUAGUUUGGUUCUUCAGAAUAAACAUUAGCACCUCCCUACCGCCCUUUCUUCCUUUUCUUUCUUCAUCCUUGUUUUCUUCCUCUCUGAAUAUUUUUUCUUUUUCCAGCUUUCUUCAAUCCAUUUUGCUUCCUCAUACAUUCCUAUUUCUCUACAGUAAUUAGUUACAAAAUAUGUAACUGAAAUUCUAGAGAUUUUUCACCUGAUUUUUUUUCAUUGUUACUGCUGUUGUGUUUACCUUCCUCUACAAAGUAAAGGGAAUCUGAAAAAUAUCUGGAACCCCAAGGUUGCUCUUUUGCUUUCAUCCACUGACCUAAUCUUAAUACACUGUUCAAAUUAUCAGUAUUCUUUUGAUUGCUCUUUGGCUUUAAACAUUUUAACAUCUGCAGUUUCUAUUCUUAAAGCGUCUAAUAAUCAGCCCAUAGAUCCUUCUACCCUAAGAUUUAUUAUAAGCAAAACAAGCCUUUUAAAAUGUAAGAAUUAUUUGUAAAAGUGAAUUGUGAGUGCAAACUUACAGCUUCUAAGCAAUGAUGGUGGUGUUUGGGGAGAUGGGAUGUAGUAGAAAAGCUGACUUCAUCAUUCCCAUGUUCAAAUAUACGAGGAAAAGAAAGAUUCAAGAAAACGUGUUUACUGAGUGUAUACCAUGUACGUGGCAUUGAGCUCAGUGAGCCCUUUCCCACAUAUCACCUCAUUUACAGGCAUGUCACAUUCAUAUCCGUACCUACAAGGGAUCUUCUGCUGAGCCAGCGUCAUAAAAGGAGCCGUAAACAGGGCACAGUGAGAGGAGUCUCUGGCUAAACCAACAUAAUAUUUUAAGAUUUUGUAAUGCGUAUUUUCGUAUCCCUACAGAGGUGCUAAAAUCACUACAGCAAAUGUCUGACGCCACAGUCAUUUUUGCAAGGCUUCCCUUGAUCUACUGUGUGUGGAUUAGGUACUAAGUAGAAGACAGUGGAUAUACCGUGUUUAAGGGCAGAGGCUUUGGGGAAUGAGCAAGCCGAUGUGGACUAGUAAGCCUGCAAUUUCCAGGCCACAGGACUUGUACUAUACAGGGCUUCCUAAGGCUCGCUAUUUCUCUAAAAUGAGACUAAUUAUAAGGCACUUGUGAGCUUAAAAGAGAAAACAUAAUAUUCCUGACAUAUAUAGGUGCUCAAAAGGCUACGAUGUAUGUGUUUACUGUUAUUUCUAUUUUGAAAAAGUUGCGUUUUGUUCUUCAGUAUUUGGGGGCAGUUUGUUUUUCCUUAUUGCCAGGAUUUCAUGGACUGCAGACUGUAUUCAAAGUAGGACUUAGCCAGAAAGACUUAGCCUGCAAAUGAAGUAUUGUCUUAUCUCAUAGUGUCCAACUCUAUUUAGAAAUGCUUAAGACAAAACUGUAAAUACAUUCCAAACUGGUAGAAUUUUCUGUCUGAAUCCCCUGGGUUUUUUUUUCUAAUAAAUUAAAUUGUAAUAUCACUUGUUAAUCUGCUUCUUAAAUGUAUUUCAAAAUUCAGAAGAAAAGGUGAGGAACACAAACACGAGAACUGAAGUAAAGGAAGGAUAUAUAAGAUGAUAGAGAAAGAAAGAAGAGAUUGAUAAGGGAAGGAAAGAGGAGAAUGAUAAUAAUUUUGCUACCUCGGCCGGGCACGGUGGCUCACGCUUGUAAUCCCAGCACUUUGGGAGGCCGAGGCGGGCGGAUCACGAGGUCAGGAGAUGGAGACCACGGUGAAACCCCGUCUCUACUAAAAAUACAAAAAAAUUAGCUGGGCGUGGUGGCGGGCGCCUGUAGUCCCAGCUACUCAGAGAGGCUGAGGCAGGAGAAUGGCGUGAACCCGGGAGGUGGAGCUUGCAGUGAGCCGAGAUCGCGCCACUGCACUCCGGCCUGGGCAACAGAGCGAGACUCUGUCUCAAAAAAAAAAAAAAAAAAUUUUUGCUACCUCAAAAUAAUAUUAUAAUAUAACAUUUUGCAAUUCUAGUUUUAGAAAAUUCUAUUAAUAUAUUAGAGAAUUUUUGUUAUUAAUUUUAUAAAUAGUAUCUCAAUUCUGAAUGGGAAAUAUAUUAACCUCUAGAGAGAAGAAGUUAGCAUACUAAACUGGCAACAUAUAUUUAAUGUACAUUUUACUAAUUGUGCCCUCUGAAAAGUAAUUUUGCAUGCAAAGGACAAGAAAAUACACAAAACUAAAAUUGGCUGCAAUCAACCAUUGAUAAUCUCUACUCAUUGUUGUUGAAUGGACAGAUGCCAUAGUGCCCCAUAUUGGAAAGAAUGAAACCAGAAAGCCUAAAUCAUGGGGAAAAUUAUGAAUCCUUUAUUAUACAUCAUCAUGUCUCUGUGGCCAAAAAUAUUGUUUUUCAUAGCAUAGCAAUAUACCUGAAUACAAUCUGCUGAUCCCAAGUUGAGCAAAAUGGGAUAUGCUAUUUAAAUUGGUGCAAAUUGCUUUCCGAUUUUUUACAUGUAGAAAAGAAAAGCCAUGUUGGGCCAUUUAUAUGAAAAUGAAUUUCGUUAGUUCCAUUGAAAGUAUUCUUAGGUCAAGAAUAGAAAAAUAGCAAGAAGUAUCAUUCACAUUUAUCAUUCAAAUAUAAGAUUGAUUCUUUGGAUGAAUAAAAUACUAUUUUUUUACUUUUAUUGUUUUUAUCUUCCCUGCAAUUAGAUAUUCGAAAAGAAAUUAAGUGAAAUUUAUCUUCGAAUAUAAAAUCUGAAAAUCAAAAAUAUUUUAGCUUGUGAAUUUCAUUCAUUCUUCAACCAGACUGGAACGUCCACGAAGAUGUGUUCUGUCCAUUGAUAAAGCCCCAGUGCCCAGAACACUGACUCAUGUAUCGUACAUACUUAAUAAGUAUUUGUGGAUUAUUUACUAAGCAAAUGUUUAUACAGAUUGGGGUUGAAAAAUGGGAGGUGGGCUGGGCGUGGUGGCUCACACCUGUAAUCCCAGCACUUUGGGAGGCUGAAUCAGGCGGAUUACGAGGUCAGGAGAUCGAGACGUCAGGAGAUCGAGCUGUCAGGAGAUCGAGACCAUCCUGGCCAGCACGGUGAAACCCCCUCUCUACUAAAAAUACAAAAAAAAAAAAAAAAAAAAAAAUUAGCCAGGCAUGGUGGGGGGCGCCUGUAGUCCCAGCUACUGGGGAGGCUGAGGCAGGAGAAUGGCGUGAACCUGGAAAGUGGAGCUUGCAGUGAGCCGAGAUUGCGCCACUGCACUCCAGCCUGGGUGACAGAGCGAGACUCUGUCUCAAAAAAAAAAAGAAAAGAAAAAUGGGAGGCAAUGAGGAAUAGAAAUGUAAAAAUAAAACAACAAAAGGCCAUGCCGACCUGUCAGAGUGAAGGGAGCAAGGGGAUCUGGUGGAAGGAAACACGAUCACCUCCUGGCCCAGAAAGCUUUUUGGUGGCCAUGAUCUUUGAAACAAACAUGGCGUUCAUGAGCAGCUGGAGUACAUUUCAGGUCGUGAAGGGCAUGCAUUUGUGGAAAUGGCUGAGGAAGUUUGGUGUUUUGUGGAGAAUAAGGGUAUGAAUAUAACAGAAGUAUUGGGCACGUGUAAAAUAUGGUAAAAUAAGGUGAUGGAAGAGUGUGAGUGUGCCAGAGGUUAGUAUUCUCUGUUAAGGAGUUUUUCUUCAUUCUGUAAUUAGAGGGGUGUCGUUUACGUUUUUAUUCAGGUAAGCCUAACUGGUAAUUCAGAAUGAUAUUUAAGAAAAGUACUCUGAUAACAUCAUGGAGAAUAAGUUGGAAUGGGGACUGUCGGGAAGAUAGCAGGGAGGUAUUUUAUGAUUGGUGAAGGAGGAAUGACUGCACUAACAGCAUAGAGAAGUAACACUGGCAUGCAGGGAAGGGGAACGACACAAAGGAUCAAUAAAGCAGUGAGAGUAGUACUUUCAGACUUAUUAAUAACUGUUGGAAGAAAUACAAAUUUCACAGAAAUUUUAGAUGGAGUUGAAAUCACAAAAUAUAAUUAAAUCUUGACCAGUGAAAAGUGAUAUUAAAUACACCUCAAUCAUUUGUUCACAUCGAAUGAGAGAAAAUAAAAAUGCUUACAAAAUAAUGAAGGCAAAAAGAUUAUCUUAAAACAAAACAUUAUACAAAAGUAUUACAUCAAGGCCUCCAAAAUUCAAUUAAUGAAUGUAGCUGAGCAAUCCCAGAAAAAUAAAAGAUAAAUGUUGACAAAUUGGAUGUUAUUUGAUGUGAACAAAAACUAUUGUGAAUUUAUUACAGGGCUCAAGAAGUUAGAAGACCCAAACUACAUAAAACACAUGAAAUGAAAUCCUAUAAUUAUGGCUUUAAAUUUGAAGCAGGAAAUAUAUUUAAGGGGGAUUAUUAAUCUAUACAUCACCACACACUAAGAUUACCUUGUAUUAGCAUUAAACCUGUUGGAUUGUCAAAAAAUGCCUUAACCAUCAAUAUUUGAUUUCUUAAAAAAAUCGUGGCUUAGGACUACAAUAAGACACUCACCAAUAUCAACAUUGAUAUCCCUUAAGCGUAGUAGUAUUCAAUUUGCUGUGAUAGGUGAUUUUUCUCCAUAUUCAAACAGAGAAUAAGAAAAGAAAGAAAAAAAUGUAUGUUUAACAAGGCAAGAGAAUGGUAUUUGGGGAUUAUUCCUCACUGCUAUUGAUAUAACACAAUGCUACUGAGAUGAAACUAGAGAAGAAUAAUAUCCUGUAUGUUCAAGGGACAUCAUAGUUAGCGAAAUAAUGGAAAUGUAUGUUAAACUUCCAUUCAUAGUUAACUUGUGAUAACUUUCCUUGCAAAUUGUAAAAUUUAAAUGCUAUGUAAACUAUAGUAUUAUUAAGGAUAAUAACAAUGAUAAUUAUUGUAUACAGCGUUGUGCUAAAAUAAAUGGAAUACCUGGAGAUCCUGAAAGAACAAAGCCUUCUACCUUCUGGAUUUUGAGCUGAUUUAAAGAGAGUAGCUUUUUACAGAACAGCGUAAAGGACUUUUCUUCCAGCAAUUCGGACCUAACUUGUGAAAAUGGUAGGACUGUGAGGUUCUAGGAGAAAGGACAACUUCAAACUAGAGAGGGAUGGACUGAUUUGUUUAAUAACACUUUCCAUUCUCUGUGUUAAGGUGAAAAAAAGAAAAAAAAAAAAAAAGCACCUAACUCAGUAAGUUACAUGUGAAUGAUGAGGCUUCGUAAAGUUUUUCCCUUCCCCAGAUCAGUGGCUUUCCCCCUCUUUCUUUGCAAAAUGUGUAUUGAUGUUUUUGUUUGUUUUUGGUUGUUGUUGCCUGAGAAUGAGAAAAUGAGAUUGACCUAAAUUUAGCUUGGCUAUAUUUUAUGUUAUCCAGAAACACAGGCAUGGUUUGUAGUUAACGCUUGCAUUCUGAAUAGAAACCGCAAAUGCAUGUGUCUAACAUUAUCUUAGCUAAUUUUUACCCAUUUUACUUAAUGUGUAUUCUUUUUUACAAUUACUUGUGUAUGCAAAUAAACAUCUUGUGAAAUUAAUGUGUAUACGCAUUGAUGUGCUUCUUAAAUAUUUUUUUCUUUUUGUCCUCAUUAUUACACUCUCAGUCAAUAAGGUAGUCAGUACAUCAAAAGAUUUUCUUAUCUCUUCAACGUUAGAAGAACUUGUUCAGAAAAAUAUUUGCCUUUUAUUAACAUAAACCAAUUAUUUUGUGUAAUUUAAACGUAGCUUUAGACAUGACUACAUUGUACAAACAUUCACAUUAGAACUCAAAAAGCACAGAUAAAAAUAAUUAUUCAGUGCUUCCUAUGUGGUAGAAGUUUGCUUUACAGUAUCUGAAAUUCUUACAAUGAUCCUGUAAUAGAGUUGCCAUUAUUCCUAAUGUCCUAUGGGUAGGAAAUGGGGAUAGUAGGUUUUUUUUUAACUCAAUUAUGUGGACUUUAAGAAUACUUGUAGAAACUGGCAUUGCAUAUCAGGUCUUAAUAAGAUUCUUUUUUUGUUUGUUUUUUAGGUGGGUGAAUAUGUUGUUUUUGUUUUUCAGUAAUAUAAUAUUUUGACAUGUUGUUAAGCAUUAUAACUCCUGCAAUAAAAAAAAAAAAAAAAAACACUGCAUGCUAGUUAGAGAACAAUAGAUUUACCCUAUCAUCAUUAACAUUAUCAUACCUUGUCUCCCUCUUUCCAGUUCAAGGGCUGAGCAAUUCUAAUAGUACUGGGAAAAAAGGACUCAACAAUUAUUCAAGAGAGACAAGUCAAAAGCCUACAGGAAAAUAAUCCUGGUUUAGAUUGGAAAGGAAAAGUCAAGUUAAAGACGUAACCAUGGGCUUUCAUGUUGAAUGUAAAAGUGGCAGGCAGCUGUUCUUGUUCUUCAUUUCCAAGGGCAUAGAACAGGAAAUGAGGUGUAAGUUGCAGUCCCGUGGAUCCAGGUUAAGUAUGAAUUGGCUGUAGGUUACAUAUAAAUUGGCUGUGGGAAUCAUUUACAUAAAUAAGACAUUUAACUCUUUUCCUGAACAUAUUUUAAAACAGUGAAAUUCUCUCUCCUGUUUCGAAUGGUUUACGUUUUACCUUACUGUGAAAUAAGAAUGAAUAGGUCUGCAGACAUACUGCCCUGAGGGUGCUUGAUCUUAUCCGAAAUAAGAGUGAACAAGAUGAGUUAGGGAAAUUCAUAGUCACACUCAUUUUAUUCUUCAGACAAUUUCAAGCAACUUUCAAAGACUAAAAUAAAAAAAAAAACUUUUAGUGAUUCAUUGUCAAUUUACAGACUAAAGAAAGUAGUUAAGUUGAAGUGGGUUUAUUUGUGUCUGGAUACCAGAAUUUAUAAUAGGCUCUGUGGGUGGAAGAGACUUUAUAACCCAAAAUCAGAGUAGAAAUUGAUUCAGAACAACUAGGUCUGACUCAAACUUAUGACAUGUUAAUGACAGAAAGUUUGAAGCUGAGGUUUAAAAAGAAAUACUAAUAUUAAAAGUUUGACAUAAACCUAUUUCUUAAUUGAAGUAGCAUUGCCUCUUAAUAGAAGCAGGAGAUACUUGAUGUGUACCUGGCAUCAACUGGUGUCUUUGGGAAAAUUAUAAAAAUAGAUUAAGUAAAAUGUUCACAAUAGCAUUUUGCAUGGUAUUGGGUGGGAGGAAUUGUUAUAUUUGAUAAAUACAUUAAGAUGUCAUUGACUAACCCUAAAUGCAUAGCCUAGCUAUAUGUUAGGACAAUUCUUGCAUCAUAAUCAGUUCUAGUGUUGACAGUGUGAAUUUUUCACUGUUGUUGUAGAGAGUGCUUAUCAACACGUAAGAUAUUCACAGAUAAGUAUUUCUUCUAAUGGCAUUGCGGCAUAAUAUGGAGCGUAUGAAAAAAUCAACAGCCCUGCUAUCCUGUUGAAAUAAACUGGAUCACCUUGAGUUAAAAGGGCACAGAACAAACUUUCUCAUUAUUUUCUGUUUUUCUUCAACUGUCUCUUAUUAAUGUCAAACUAUAUAAGUUAUUACCAAAAACAUGAUACUUUUGAUCUUACCAAAUAAAAGAAAGGUUUUAUUUGUGGUUGUAUUUACAAGUCUCACUGAUGUCCAUAAAUAUUAUUUACAAAUUAAGGAUAUUGGAGCUACAGAAUUAAAAAGAGGCCAGGCUCAGUGGCUCACACCUGUAAUCCUAGUGCUUUGGGAGGCCAAGGCGGGGGAUUCCUUGAGGCCAGUAUGCAUGGCUGUAGUGAGUUAUGAUUUUGUCACUGCACUCCUGCCUGGGUGACAGAGUGAGACCCUGUGUCUAAACAAACAAAAUGAUUAAAAAGAAUUAAGCUUAAAAAGUGUAAUUUUGUGUACAUUAUAAAACAUGAAAUGAUAUCACCAAAGCCUUUAGUGUGAUUGUUACAUAAGUGUUUCACUCUUUUAUGAGCUUUAACUAACAUACAUCUGGAAACCUAUAAACACAUUUUUAUUUCAUUAAGUCAAACUUGUGUCUAGAAAGACUGUCAUUGUGAUAGUAGUUUGGCAAUUUAAUGUCAGAGUAUGUGGACACUGCACUUACAAUGUCCCAUUUUGGUCCUGAGGACGUUUGGGUUGAGCCACAGGAAAGCAGAUGUUACUAGGCUCAGAUACCAAUAUGUAAAUGUUAUAAAUUUUUACAAAUUUGUGUUUUAUAAAGAUCUGUUUGUGGGGGAGAAGUGGAUCUUGUGAGUAUUGCUGAGUGACACUUUGACACUUUCACAUUUUGUCUUUAGUUCUCCUGAAAAGUGGCAUGGACUUGAGGAAAAAUCUAUUAUAAUUUUACUAAAUGUCAUAUGUAUGGUAUUAAAAUAAUCCAUGUCUAGCAUUACGUUUGUAAAGAUUUUAAAAAUAUGCGUUAUGAUAGGUUACAAAGUUUUAGUAUGGAUCAAAUAGGAUUAGUAGUGUACUUGAUAAGAAAGACAAAAUUCUGAGAUAGGUUCUUGGUCUUUGAGCAUAGUAAGACCUGCUUUCUUGUGGCUCAACCCAAGCUUUCUCAGAGCCAAAGUGGGACAACAUUGUAAGUGCAGUGCCGACAUACUCUGGCAUUAAAUUGGUAAGCUAGUAUCUCAGUGACAAACUUUCUGAACACAAGUUUGACUUAAUGAAAUAAAAAUGUGUUUAUAGGUUUUCAGAUGGACUGCACAUUUUAAAAUUCCACUUAUGUGCCUCAUUUGCAUAUUGAUAAAGUUAAUUUGAAAUCGACUUCAGCUCUUUUUGUAACUUAAAACAUAGCAAAUUUGUAGAGUCUGUUUUUUUUUUUUUUUUUUUUUUUUUUUUUUUUUUUUUUGAGAUGGAGUUUAGCUCUUGUUGACCAGACUGGAGCGCAAUGGCGUGAUCUCAGCUCACUGCAACCUUCGCCUCCCAGGUUCAAGCAAUUCUUCUGCCUCAGCCUCCUGAGUAGCUGGGAUUAUAGGCGCCUGCCACCACGCCUGGCUAAUUUUUGUAUUUUUAGUAGAGGCAGAAGGGCGGGGUUCACCAUGUUGGCCAGGCUGGUCUGGAACUCCUGUCCUCAAGUGAUCCACCCGCCUCACCUUCCCAAAGUGUUAGUCUGUGUUUUAUGUGCUUCAGAUGUAAGGAUUCUUGGUAAACUCAUUAUUAUUUUUUCACAACAUUAUAUUUUUGUCAAUUCUGAGUACAAUGUAUUUCUUUUUAUGACUUACUGCAAAAGGAAUUUUAAAAAUAAAGUAUCCAUUAGAAGAACCAAAUGAUCAUCAUAUACCCUAAACUAAUAUUUUUUGGGGUUCUGCAUUAAAAAUAUAUCUAAUUAUAAAAGUAUUACAUGCCCUUAUGGAAAACUUGACAAAAGUAUAAAGUCUAAAACGAUAAUCACCCGUGCCCCAGGAGUAAUCACUAUAGAGUGAAGACAUAAAUGAUUGCUAGCUAGCUAGCUAGCUAGAUAUGAUAGACAGGUACAUAGUUUUUGUCUUUUUUAAAAAUAAGGAUUGUAAUAUAGAUGAUACUUUUAAUCUUGCUGUUUCCAUUAACAGCAUAGCCAUUUUAAACUAUUACAAAUUUUAGGGAAUAUUUGAUAAAUAUUGACAAACUUUCGGCAAAAACAUUUUUACCAUUUUAUAUUCUCGCCAAUCUUACUGUAGUUGCAACAAACCUGAAUAUUAGUAACUUUACAUUUUUCUAUAUUAAAUAAGCAAAAUAAAUAGGAAAAGGUGGAUUUCAUUUUUCCAUUUGCCACCUUUACAACCUUUUUAAAAAGUAUAUGAGACUAAUAACAUUUUUAGGUUUGUGGGUAGUUUUUACCAUCUCCUUCCAGUAUUAUCUUAGGAUCAGAUGCCGUUUUUGCUAUACUGUCUUAUGAUUUUUCCUACUGGUGCUAUAAGCUCUUUAGAGAAUAAGAAUCCUAUAUUUUUAAUAUGAUGUAACAUUGUUACAAAUCUAUGUUUAUAGAUUUUUAUUUAGCCCUGUAUAUUAUAUAACUAAAAGACCUCUAAAAUAAGGCCCUAACCUGCACCCAUUUUCUAUGCAUUUUUUUCCCAAAUCCAUUUAAUACUGUACCCAUAUAUGGCUAAAAAUUAACACUCCUUGGUUAACUAUGAACAUGGUGAAACAGCUGCUUCUUUUAUUCGCAUAAAUGUAUGCAGAAUUGCUAUGCUAUUUUAAUAACUAUGCAAUAGACACAUCUUGCCAUGACUCAUUUCAUGUUGCUGUUAGUGAAUUAUGUGUAUGUGAUCUGACAUAAAGAUUUCAGCUCUGUUUUAUUCAAUUUAUCUUCAUCAUCAUCAGUAAAACUUCAUCAUAUAGGAGAUGAUGGGUAAAUGAUUACUUACAGAACAGAUUUAAAUUAAUUAGACAAUGUAUAGUUUAUUCUAUAAAUGCUUUCAUCUAAGCUUCCAAAAUAAAAUUAGUCUUUUCAAUAUUUUAAUACCCACCCUUUAUGCUUUCUUCAAUUUGUUGCCUAUUUAAGAGUUAAUUUUGGCAUAUUCUAUAUACUGUACUACUCUACGUUUUUCUGUAAAUGUUUUUUGUCAUAAGUUAUGUUUAAUACUUUUUAUUUUAGCCAAGUUGUAUAUGUAAAUACGCAUGAAAGACUUUGAGGAGUGCUUGGUAUAAAGUAUUUAAUAAACAUUGAUGGUUGCCAUUCUGUAAAUGCUUCAGGAAAAUUCUUAAAUAUUAUGUCUGAACCACUCUAGUUUCCUAAAUUAGCCUAUGGUUUAUCAGUCUUGACGGUUUUGCAUUGUAAGAUAGCAGUAAUUUUAUGGAGGCAGCACUGUAAACCUGCACCAUUGAACAUUUUCACAUAUUGUGUACAGUGUACAAGGGAGUGAAUGAGUCCUGAACAGCACAAUUUGCCAUUUUAAUUUUCCUAAACAAAAGUUCAGUUUCUUCAUCCUUCUUGCCUAUAUAUGUAAUUCAAGACAUACUAGUUGGUUGACAAGUUUCUGUCCUGAUUAUUACAAUUGACCAGGAAUUUAGGUGAAUAUAACCAACUCCCUGGCAGCAUAUUGCAGUGCAGAGAGCAUGGGCAUUCCACUGGGAGACCUGGGUGUCAGUUCUGACUUGGCCACUUUGUAGCUAUAUCACCCUGAAAAAGAAUCUGUCUGAGUCUCAGUUUUAUUAUCUGUAAAAUGGAAAAAGAAUGUUUGCUUCUAUUUUAGGAUGAUUUUGAUGCUUAAUAAAGAACAAAAAUGUGAUGGUGUUUGGGGUGUAGCCACUGCUCUCUAUGUCUCUGUUCUUUUUCACUCUUGCUUUUUCUAGUCUGUAUAUCUCAUGAUCCAGACUGACAAAGAAAUGAUGAGAUAAAGGUGAAGUAAGCAUAGUUCCCAAACAAUAAACGAUCUGUGUAUAAAGAUUUUAUACUGUAAGGUGGAACUUUGUAUGAUUUUAAGACAGGAAUUGCCUGACGACGUUCGUACCCAUUUGUAACUGAAUUCGUGAAGUACUUUUUAAAGCAAAAGAGAUUUUCAAAAAUUGUGAAAUUACUCUGUACUUAUUGUUGUAAUUAAACUGUGGAGUAGAAAUUACAGUCUUAUCAAAAUUUAAUUUUAGUAAAUUCAAGCCAAGCCACUAAAAUUUUAAUUUUAAUUUUAAUAUCAUGAUCUCUCUUGUCCUUUACUUGUAUACACACACAAAAUUUCCAUCUGUUAUUUCACCGUGUUUCCUAAUUCUUAUUUCUUCUCUUGGUCCAGUUCAGAAAAGCCUGUGAUCCACUCCACGGCAACCCGAGGGAGUGGUCAAGUCACACAGAGCUCUGUGUCACCCCCUGACAGUUUCCUCACCACAGUCAGAAUGGCACUUGUGACAGACACUGGAGUUUCUCUUCAAUCUAAUUAAGGUUAUGAAUCUCUCUGAACUUCAGUGCUCUUACCUCAGAAAUGAAGAUAUCUCAGGCGUCCAUUGUCCCCACUAGAUCUACUUUCCAACAUUCUUUGCUCGGCUCUCAGCUCCUGGAAGUGGACCUGUAGCAUCAAGAUAGAGUCUUGCUCUGUCACCUAAGCUAGAGUGCAGUGGCGUGAUCUUGACUCACUGCAACCUCCACUUCCCUGGUUCAAGCGAUUCUUCUGCCUCAGCUUCCCAAGUAGCUGGGACUACAGGCGUGCGCCACUGCGCCCAGGUAAUUUUUGUAUUUUUUAGUAGAAACGGGGUUUCACUGUAUGUUGGCCAGGUUGGUCUCGAACUCCUGACUUCAGGUGAUCUGCCUGCCUUGGUCUCCCGAAGUGUUGGGAUUACAGGCGCGAGCCACUGCGCCUAGCCCUACUUCACUUUUUCUACUCUUAGCAAUUGUCCAUCUUGGCAAGAAUAAAAAUUACAUUUUUUCCCUCACAAUUUACAAGACAUCAUAGAUAUUCUUAUAAUUGCUGGGCAGUUAGAAAUUAAAAACAAAAGUUUAGUAGGUUAAAAUGUAGUCCACAAAACUAAUGUGUUUAUAAAAUUGAUCCCAAACACAAACAUUUCUCUAAAGAGAGAAAUAUAGAGGAAGCAAUUUGAAGGAUUUGUCUUAAGUUAUUAAGUGAGUUAUAUUUUAUACAAAAGUAAAUCUGAUUAUCAUGAGGCUGAGGAAAUGUUUGUUUUAAAAAUUUUAAAAUGUGAAACAGCAGUCAAUUAUAUUUAUUCUUAUUUUCAUCCAGAAGUAAGACAAACACAAUAUAUUUAUCAAUAAAUUAUUAGCUUCCAUUUCUGGUUAACAUCUUAAGAGUGAGUUCAUGGAAGCUAGAAUGAGAAGUACCAGUGAAACGAACCUCUGAGUUAUAUUCAUUGUUUAUAGAGCUAGAAAGGGACUUCCUAGAAAAUACAGGUUUGCGCCGGGCACGGUGGUUCAUGCCUGUAAUCCCAGAGCUUGGGAUGCCGAGGUGGGUGGAUCAUUUGGGCUCAGGAGUUUGAGACCAGACUGGGCAACAUGGUGACACUCCAUCUCUGCAAAAAAUAAAUAAAAUAAAAUAAAAUAAAAUAAAAUAAAAUA